rnacentral:rRNA from 1 species
UGGGUGACCUACCCCACAGUGAGGGAUACCGGCGAGAAAUCGCCGACAAGCCCGCAUACGCUCUGGUUUGCGAAAGCAAGCGAGAGGAAAGCCCGCAAGGGCGCUCUGGGAUGGGCCUGUGGCCGAUUAGCUAGCUGGUGGGGUAAGAGCUCACCAGGGCGACGAUCGGUAGCUGGUCCGAGAGGACGAUCAGCCACACUGGGAUUGAGAACGGCCCAG